rnacentral:rRNA from 1 species
AUGGGAUGGGGCGACGACGACGGCAACAGCGGCCUUCUCUCGGUGCUUGCUGAUGUGGUUGCCAUCGACGCCGGCGACGAGUUGCAGCACGUAGACAUCAAAGGCUGCGGGUGUGACGGAGGAGCACCAUGGCGGGCGUGCAGGCCAUGUCUCUCUAUGUUGAACAAUAGGUUAAGGGAGCAUUCCUCAAUUUUUUGGGGUCCAAUGGAACAGCAGGAGUGUGGAGAAUUAACGCACUCGACGACUCUGGAAUAUGGAUGGAGAGAACGACAGUUGAAGACAUGGAUAUUGCUGUCCGAGCACAUAUAA